rnacentral:lncRNA from 1 species
UCCUUUUUCUCCCCAAAGCCCCCUGGUACAUAGUUGUGUAUUUUUAGUUGUGGGUCCUUCUCGUUGUGGCAUGUGGGACACCGCCUCAGCGUGGCCUGAGGAGCGAUGCCACGUCUGUACCCAGGAUUCGAACUGGCAAAACCCCCAAACCGCUGAAGCGGAGCGUGUGAACUUAAGUGCUUGGCCAUGGGGCCGGCCCCCUGGUUUCUUUUUCUAUUUUAAAAUUUUCCCCUCAAAACUUUUUAUUACGAAAAAUUCAAAACUCAGAGAAAGGUUAAAAGUAAAGUAAAAUGAAUUUCCCUGGACCCUGCACCGAGAUGGGACAACUGUUCUCAGGCUCCUGGAAGCCACCUGUAGACCUUCUGACGCUUCACUCCUAAAUGCUUCACAGACGUCUCCUAAGAAGAGGGACGCGCUCUCACACAGACUGUCGUUUUCACACCUGGGAAGUCAGUCAGAAUUCAACAGCAUCGCUUACUCCCCAGUCCGUGCCUGAGUUUCCCCAGCUGCCCUAAGUUUUCCGUGGCUGCUGCUUGUCAGUCAGAAUCCAGCCGAGGCUCACGUGUUGCACUCAGCUGUUACACCUCUUUAGUCAUUUUUCGUCCAGAACAGUCCCCUCCCUUUGGCUCUUUUCCUUUCACCUCCUUCUUUUCCUUUCUUUUGUUUGUUUGACAUGGACUCGGCCGCUGUCUUACGGAAGCUCCCACGUCUGCGUCUCUGACAGUCUCCUCGCGGUGCAGCCCACCCUCCGUCCUCUGUGAGCGCCCAGAGGCGGAACAUCAGAUCCAUAGGGUCACCCGGACUCGGGUUGCACAGUUUGGGGGAGAAGACCUCCCAGGUGACGAGGUGUCCUUCCUAUUGGAUCUCAUCAAGAGGUGCGUGAUGUCAGCUUGUCCCGCACACAGUGACGCUGACCUGGAUCGGCAUUCGGGUGGGGACACCAGGCGCCCCCAGUGAGGCUGCACACAGAACUUACUGGCGCUGGGAGCAGGAGCCACAACCUGAAGCCUUGCCGCCACUGGGAAGGAAGGCCCCUGAAGCCUCCCGAAGCCCCUCCAAAGCCAGGAGAGGUGCUACAUUAGCAACAAUCAGGUGACCAAUUCGAGGAAGAAGAACCAAUGAACCGGGUCCUUCGUGAGAAGAUGGGGCCAGGCCCCACUGUGAGGUGCUCGGUGACUCAGUCAGCACUCCCAUCCACAGACCACUGACUCACUUACGUCCUGUGUGGGGAGAAGUACAAAGCCAGGAACAGAAUCUGGACAAGGCCCCAGACGGCCGGGCCCCACUGCCUCCCUGCUCUCCUUUCCCACCUUCCCGCUCACUCUGGGAGAUAUGCCAGACACAUCCCCACCUCAGGCCUUUGUCUCUGCUGUUCCCCCUGCCGGGAACCCUUAGCCACCGGCUCUUUGCUUGACUGAGCCUCAGCUCCAACAGCACCUCCUCAGAGAAACCUUCCCGACCACCGCAGCCGUCGCUGCCGCUGUGAUCCAGUUUAUUUCCUUCUGAGCGCUUACUUCUGCUCUGAACGAGCCAGCCUGUUCCUGCCCUCCUGCUGGGUCCUCUGCUGCCCCACCACAGUGUAAGCUCCAGGAGGCCCUGCUCCAGCUUGAUGUCACCAUGUCCUUGGUGCCUGGAGUUGCGUGCGGCAUGUGAAAAGCACCCAAUGCACAAGUGCUGUAUGAGUGAGAAAAGGGGCUGGAGCUGACUUCCGCACCAAGGCCUCUGGGCCCCCUUACAGGAAGAUUAGCCCUGAGCUAACUGCUGCCAAUCCUCCUCUUUUUGCUGAGGAAGACUGGCCCUGAGCCAACAUCCAUGCCCAUCUUCCUCUACUUUAUACAUGGGACGCCUACCACAGCAUGGCUUUUGCCAACCAGUGCCAUGUCCGCACCCGGGAUCUGAACCAGUGAACCCCAGGCCUCAGAGAAGCAGAACGUGCGAACUUAACCGCUGCACCACCAGGCCGGCCCCACUACUGAUCUUCUUAUUAUCUCCAUAGUUUUGCCUUUUCCAGAAUGUCAUAUAGUUGGAAUUAUAGUAUGUGGCCUUUUCAGACUGGCUUCUUUCACUUAGCAAUAGGCAUUUAAGAUUCCUCAUUGUCUUUUCGUGGCUCGAUAGCUCAUUUCUUUUUAGAGCUGAGUAGUAUUCCAUUCUGCAAGCAUACUAAAGUUUAUUUAUUUCUUCACCUACUGAAGGAUAUCUUGGUUGCUUCUAAGUUUUUGCAAUUAUGAAUAAAGCUCCUAUAAAUGUCCAAGUGCAGGUUUUUGUGUGGAUAUAAAUUUUCAACUCAUUUGGAUGAAUACCAAGGAGCAUGAUUGCUGGAUCACACAGUGACAGUAUAAUUUAGUUUUAUGAUCCCCUUUUCUAGAGUCCCAUUCAUUGCCAAAAUUCUCCAUCUUGUCUUUUAACUCACUGAACAUUUAAUCAUAGUUGUUUUAAAGUCCAUGUCAGAUAAUUCUAUUUUCUGGAUCCCCUUGAAUUUGGUUUUAUUGUUUGUGCGAUUUUUUUUCCCCCCAAUUUUUGGCCAAGUCUUGUUUUUUUGUAAACCUGGACAUUCAAUAUGAAAAAUUACAGAGAUAAUUUGAUCCCCUUACUUUUGCUUCUGGCAGGAAGCUCAGUGGAGACCACUGGAACAGUCCCAGAUUGCCUUAGUCACUGAGGACCUGAGCUGGCUUGCAGUCAGGAUUCAGUCCCUGGGAGGGCUGGUCUAUUUCUUGUUCUUAACAUGCAGCCUUCAGGAGCCCGGCCCAAAGUCUUGGAUGUUUCGUGAACCCCUCCUCCUUGGUAGGUUCCAGACUCCAAGCUCCAUGAGUCUGGUGAGAGCUCUGCUCAGCUUCCUAGCCUCUCAGAUGUCACUUUCAAGUCAGCCAUCACCUUGAGGGGGAAAGUAGCGUCUGUUGCCAGCUUUGCCUCCCUGGGCAUCCAUCCUUUCCUAGACCUCGGCCCCAUGAUUCUUGUAAUUUCUCAUUGCAUUGAUGGUACCUUCAGACAGAUGUGUUUUUCUUUCUAAUUUUAUCCAGUUUUCUAGUGUUCUCAGCAGGAGGAAUGGUCUGAAAUAAUCUACUCCACCAUUGCCGGAAGUCCUCCAAUUAUGUUUAGAGAAAAGUGAAUACUCCUUGUCCUGCCUACCAGCUUCCUGCCAUACCAUUCUCUCCCUUGCUUGCGACACUGUAGUGAAAUGUGGGGCUUUUUCCUAUAACUUGAAUAUGACAAGCUCCUUCAUGCCCCAGCACCUUUGCACCCACUUUCCCCUCUGUCUAGAAUGUUGUUUCCUUUACUUCAUUUUCCAGGCCUCUGUUUAAAUGUCAGUUCUUCUGAGAGGCCUUUCCUGACCUUGCAUUCUAACUCAUUCAGCUGUACACUCACACCCUGUUCCACGUGGCCGCUCUUGUAUACACCCUGCUCUUCCCUUCACACCACUUACCACAAUUUUUAAUUAUAUAUUGAUCUAUUAUCCUUUGUUGGUUGUCUGUCUUCCCACCACAGGGAAGUCCUGCGAGGCCAGGGUUGUCUGAGUUUGGGCUCCCUCACAGGCAGGCCCUGAGAUGAAGAUUAAGCACACGUUGUUUUUUGGGAAUUGCAGGUAAUAGGGAGGGAAGGCAGCCAAGAAGGGGUGCGAUUAUGCAGUGACCACGGUGGGCAGCGGAGCCAUCCUGCGAGAAAGCUGGGGAACAUGGCACAAAACUCAUGCCCAGGCGGGGGCUGGGCAUUUACACACCAGUUCCUGCCAGGCCUGCUGGUGGGGGCUGCUCCUGGGGUCCACAGAGUCCCUGGUGCUGCUGCCCUGCAGCUGGCACAGAGCCCCACAGAGGGGCGGCAGGCUCGGCCUGGAAGGCAUCUGGGCGCAGGGAAGCAGGAGGACCUGAGAGGGUCCACAGGGCCCUGCCAGGACGGCUUCUGUUCGGGGGACCAUUUUAUUCCCAGCCCCAGACACGGGGCCUGGCAGGCAGUAGGAAGUCAAUGAUGACAUGUUGAAUAAGUGCACUUUUAGAACUCCGUGCCAGGUUUAGAACCUAGCUCUCCAAACGGGCUCGCCAUGGUAUUAAAGAUAAUUGUCGGGACCCUGCUGCCGGCCAGGCGCCUUCGAGGGCAGGAAGGGGCUUUCCAUAAGAGCAGAGUAAUCAGAGGAGGGCGCCCCACAGCCUGGAGCCUGGUCUUUUUGAAGAACGAGACUGUGCACCCUGUGGAGAAGAAACGUCUCAGCGACAGUCCUCACGUGCCCCGGGCCAUCCUAGGGGUCAUCCCGCAUAGACUGCACGGGCGAGAAGGCCCCGGUGGAUGGUGCUCUGCCAGCUUGGAGGAGAGCUUCCGCACUCUGCACUGCUCAGAGGCGGCCCCAGCUGAGGCGGGAGCUCCCUGCCACUGCUCCUCCAGGAGAAAACUAGGUCCCGGCCCUCAGAGCGCCUGCUGCCUGGUUGAGAGGACAAGACGUCCCUCUGCGUAGCGCUGGACGAGAAGGACAGGCCCGCACACAACAGCUUGAGGCGAAAACACUCAGACUCGGUUUCUGGUUCCCAGAGUGCACGCUGGGCCGCCAGGCGGAGGAGGCGCUGAGGCAGGAGUCAGUGGUUCUGUUGAUUCAUCUGUAUGAUCUUAGUGCUGUGUUUCAAAGGGCCCGCUCGGUCCAGUGCUGGAUGGGGCCUGCUUGUACAAGGCGCCCUUGUUGGGUUUCAGAGCACCUGACACCUGGAUUGAGAUGCUGACAAGCCCAGGAAGGGGCUGGAAGGAAAGUGGGGCCACCCCUGGGAAACACACCGGGGUCUCCGAUAGCUUUGUCCUGUGUCUCCCACUGUGUUUUGUUUUAUAUGUCGACUUGGCUGGGCUACAGAACCCAGAUGUUUGGUUCAAUACUAGUCCAGAUGCUGCCGUGAAGGUGUUUUUAUGUAAGAUUAACAGUCAAAUCAGUAGACUUUGAGGAAAGCAGAUGAUCCUCCCUAGUGUGGUGGGCCUCAUCGAAUCAGUUGGAGGCCUUAAGAGAAAAUGACUGCGACUCCUGAUGGCCUCUGGACUCCAGCUGUAACAUCGCCUCUUCCCUGGGUCUCCAGCCCGCCAGCCUGCCCUACAGAUCUUGGACUUGCCAGACCCCACAGCUGCAUGAGCCAACUCCUUAAAAUAAAUCAACCUUUCU